rnacentral:rRNA from 1 species
AGCGACAGGCUUAACACAUGCAAGUCGAGGGGCAGCGGGGGCGAAGCUUGCUUCGCCUGCCGGCGACCGGCGCACGGGUGAGUAACACGUAUGCGACCUGCCCCCCGCAGGGGGAUAACCGGGAGAAAUCCCGACUAAUACCGCGUAACGCCGCGGGGCUGCAUGGCCCGGCGGCCAAAGGAAGCGAUUCCGGCGGGGGAUGGGCAUGCGGCGCAUUAGCUAGUCGGCGGGGUAACGGCCCACCGAGGCGACGAUGCGUAGGGGUUCUGAGAGGAAGGUCCCCCACACUGGUACUGAGACACGGACCAGACUCCUACGGGAGGCAGCAGUGAGGAAUAUUGGUCAAUGGGCGGGAGCCUGAACCAGCCAAGUCGCGUGAGGGAAGACGGUCCUACGGAUUGUAAACCUCUUUUGCCGGGGAGCAACGGGGUCCUUGCGAGGGCCCGAUGAGAGUACCCGGAGAAAAAGCAUCGGCUAACUCCGUGCCAGCAGCCGCGGUAAUACGGAGGAUGCGAGCGUUAUCCGGAUUUAUUGGGUUUAAAGGGUGCGUAGGCGGGCUGUUAAGUCAGCGGUCAAAUGUCGGGGGCUCAACCCCGGCCUGCCGUUGAAACUGGCGGCCUCGAGUGGGCGAGAAGUAUGCGGAAUGCGUGGUGUAGCGGUGAAAUGCAUAGAUAUCACGCAGAACUCCGAUUGCGAAGGCAGCAUACCGGCGCCCGACUGACGCUGAGGCACGAAAGCGUGGGUAUCGAACAGGAUUAGAUACCCUGGUAGUCCACGCAGUAAACGAUGAAUGCUAGCUGUCCGGUUCUACGGGACUGGGUGGCACAGCGAAAGCGUUAAGCAUUCCACCUGGGGAGUACGCCGGCAACGGUGAAACUCAAAGGAAUUGACGGGGGCCCGCACAAGCGGAGGAACAUGUGGUUUAAUUCGAUGAUACGCGAGGAACCUUACCCGGGCUCAAACGCCAAAGGACAGCCGUUGAAAGGCGGCCUCCCUCCGGGGUCUUUGGCGAGGUGCUGCAUGGUUGUCGUCAGCUCGUGCCGUGAGGUGUCGGCUUAAGUGCCAUAACGAGCGCAACCCCCAUCGACAGUUGCUAACGGGUAGAGCCGAGGACUCUGUCGAGACUGCCGGCGCAAGCUGCGAGGAAGGCGGGGAUGACGUCAAAUCAGCACGGCCCUUACGUCCGGGGCGACACACGUGUUACAAUGGCCGGUACAGCGGGAUGCCAGGGCGCGAGCCCGAGCGGAACCCGAAAACCGGUCUCAGUUCGGAUUGGAGUCUGCAACCCGACUCCAUGAAGCUGGAUUCGCUAGUAAUCGCGCAUCAGCCACGGCGCGGUGAAUACGUUCCCGGGCCUUGU